UAGUAAUGAGGUUAAUAUAACGUUGGUCGACAUAAAAUAGCCAAGUAAAUACCCAGUAUUAGCGAUAACUCAAAAAUUAAAAGCUCAAAUAUAUUUAUAACGAAUAAACUGCUACUCUCUACUCUAGUGGAAUAUUGUAAUUGGAUCGAUAGUGAACGAAGUAAUUUCAUAACAUUUUGAUAGAUGGCGUUGUGGCAAAGUAUUGAACAUGACCACAGUCGUCUUAACAUCGUCAUGUAAAUACGUGUCAUCAAAGAUUAUUCAAAAAUUGCUCAUUAUAUCUCAAUCAUAUUUAAAACGGACGACAUGACAAGUAUUAGCUUUUGAUUUAUACAAAAAAGAUCAAAAUCAGUGCACCCAGUAAAAAGAUAUAACGUAUAAUACAACGUAGGGUGACGAAAAUAAUGUCAAGUAAAUACGCGUUAUCAAAGAUUAAUCAAAAAGCAGUUAUCAGAUCUCGAUAAAAUUUAUAUGUGACCACAUGAUAAACAUCAGCUUUCGAUUAAAGUAAAAAUUAUCAAAAUCGAUAUACCCAGUAAAAAGUUGUUGCGGAUUUUCAAGAUUUUCCCUCGAUUUCUCUGGGAUCCCAUCAUCAGAUCCUAGUUUCCUUAUCAUGGUACCAAACUAGGGAUAUCCCCUUUCCAACAAAAAAAGAAUUAUUAAAAUCGGUACACCCAGUAGAAAGUUAUGUGGUAUAAU
rnacentral:misc_RNA from 1 species